UUAAAUUUAUUUUUUUGAUUCAGACAAAUACUUUACAGCAUAAACCUGACGCCGAGAGCGCCAAAGCACAUCUUCCUUUCACAGGUUUACAAGGUCGAAGGCCAAAAGCCAUUCGUUAAUGAUCCCUCCGCAGGUUCACCUACGGAGA
rnacentral:misc_RNA from 1 species